rnacentral:rRNA from 1 species
GACGAACGCUGGCGGCGUGCCUAACACAUGCAAGUCGAACGGAGAAAUUCAGCAAUGGAUUUCUUAGUGGCGAACGGGUGAGUAACGCGUAGACGACCUGCCUCUUAGAUGGGGACAACAUCGCGAAAGCGGUGCUAAUACCGAAUGAAGUGGAGCUUCCGCAUGGAAGCAUCACCAAAGGUGGCCUCUAUUUAUAAGCUACCACUGAGAGAUGGGUCUGCGUCUGAUUAGCUAGUUGGCGGGGUAAUGGCCCACCAAGGCGACGAUCAGUAGCCGGUCUGAGAGGAUGAACGGCCACAUUGGGACUGAGACACGGCCCAAACUCCUACGGGAGGCAGCAGUGGGGAAUCUUCCGCAAUGGACGAAAGUCUGACGGAGCAACGCCGCGUGAGUGAAGAAGGUUUUCGGAUCGUAAAGCUCUGUUGUUUGAGACGAAUGUGCAGACUUUGAAUAAGGGUUUGUAAUGACGGUAUUAAACGAGAAAGCCACGGCUAACUACGUGCCAGCAGCCGCGGUAA